rnacentral:tRNA from 1 species
GGGGAUUUGGCUCAGUGGUAGAGCCCUUGCCUAGGAAGCGCAAGGCCCUGGGUUCGGUUCCCAGCUCCG